rnacentral:rRNA from 1 species
AUACAUGCAGUAGAACGCUGAAGAGAGGAGCUUGCUCUUCUUGGAUGAGUUGCGAACGGGUGAGUAACGCGUAGGUAACCUGCCUUGUAGCGGGGGAUAACUAUUGGAAACGAUAGCUAAUACCGCAUAACAAUGGAUGACACAUGUCAUUUAUUUGAAAGGGGCAAUUGCUCCACUACAAGAUGGACCUGCGUUGUAUUAGCUAGUAGGUGAGGUAAUGGCUCACCUAGGCGACGAUACAUAGCCGACCUGAGAGGGUGAUCGGCCACACUGGGACUGAGACACGGCCCAGACUCCUACGGGAGGCAGCAGUAGGGAAUCUUCGGCAAUGGGGGCAACCCUGACCGAGCAACGCCGCGUGAGUGAAGAAGGUUUUCGGAUCGUAAAGCUCUGUUGUAAGUCAAGAACGGGUGUGAGAGUGGAAAGUUCACACUGUGACGGUAGCUUACCAGAAAGGGACGGCUAACUACGUGCCAGCAGCCGCGGUAAUACGUAGGUCCCGAGCGUUGUCCGGAUUUAUUGGGCGUAAAGCGAGCGCAGGCGGUUUGAUAAGUCUGAAGUUAAAGGCUGUGGCUCAACCAUAGUUCGCUUUGGAAACUGUCAAACUUGAGUGCAGAAGGGGAGAGUGGAAUUCCAUGUGUAGCGGUGAAAUGCGUAGAUAUAUGGAGGAACACCGGUGGCGAAAGCGGCUCUCUGGUCUGUAACUGACGCUGAGGCUCGAAAGCGUGGGGAGCGAACAGGAUUAGAUACCCUGGUAGUCCACGCCGUAAACGAUGAGUGCUAGGUGUUGGAUCCUUUCCGGGAUUCAGUGCCGCAGCUAACGCAUUAAGCACUCCGCCUGGGGAGUACGACCGCAAGGUUGAAACUCAAAGGAAUUGACGGGGGCCCGCACAAGCGGUGGAGCAUGUGGUUUAAUUCGAAGCAACGCGAAGAACCUUACCAGGUCUUGACAUCCCGAUGCUAUUUCUAGAGAUAGAAAGUUACUUCGGUACAUCGGUGACAGGUGGUGCAUGGUUGUCGUCAGCUCGUGUCGUGAGAUGUUGGGUUAAGUCCCGCAAC